AACGUCGCCCAGUCGGUGGGGAUAACGUAGACGAAAGUUACGCUAAUACCGCAUACGAUCUAAGGGUGAAAGCGGGGGAUCGCAAGACCUCGCGCGAUUGGAGCGGCCGAUAUCAGAUUAGGUAGUUGGUGAGGUAAAGGCUCACCAAGCCAACGAUCUGUAGCUGGUCUGAGAGGACGACCAGCCACACUGGAACUGAGACACGGUCCAGACUCCUACGGGAGGCAGCAGUGGGGAAUUUUGGACAAUGGACGCAAGUCUGAUCCAGCCAUUCCGCGUGCAGGAUGAAGGCCCUCGGGUUGUAAACUGCUUUUGUACGGAACGAAAAGGUUUCUAUUAAUACUAGGAGCUCAUGACGGUACCGUAAGAAUAAGCACCGGCUAACUACGUG
rnacentral:rRNA from 1 species